rnacentral:lncRNA from 1 species
CAUCGAAUCAAAUAAUCCUAAGGACUUUAUCAUAUAGCAGGAGUUCAAAAUAAGAUAUACAUAGUGAUAAAAAACUAAAUAAUAUUUAUUAAUUUAAUAAUUUAUAUAUAAUUACAAUAAUAAGCUCAACUGUCAAUAAGCUGAUGAUUGACUUUGGGACAUAAUUUUUGAAAAAAAUAUGCGGUAGUGUAGUACAUGCGAUUUAAAAAUUUUGUGCAGUAAAAAUAAAAGAUUAAAUAAUUU